CGGCUGCGGAGGCUGGCGCGGGCUGCUGCACCUUUAACGCUUUCUGGCGCUGACAGGCGGCGGCCCAGCUAAAGUUCACAGCGCCCGGGGAGGGCCCGCCUCCGCCUCCCCUCCCGCCCCCGCCUCCCCUCCCCCAGGCCGGCCCCGGCCCCCGGCCCCGGACAGGCCCGCCGCGCGGCCGCUUGAGCUGCGAGCUGAGGAGGCCCGUUGGCUGUUCCCGCAAAGAGUGGGGGGCGCAUUUUCUCUCCUGCCAGCCCGCUCCAUCCUGGUCGUUUAUUCCCGGCCUUCCCUCACCCCCCACCCCCACAGCCUGCUGGGAAACCAGACGACCCAGCGGCCACGGGACGAGUCACCCCAACUCAACCCCAGCAGGACGCUGGAGGGGCCUCCCUUGCCCACCUCUCUUCGCUAGCACUGGCCUCCCGCACCUGGGUCUGCAGUCCCUCCGCCAUCUCACAAGUGUGCAGCCGCUAGGCCUGGGGGAUCCGAAUGACUGGGGCUGGAUAGGAAUGCCUUCGUGUUUCCCAAGACCCCCGGGCCUGCUCCACAAAGUUUGAAGGGCUUCUGCUUUGUGUGAUCAGGGAAGGGAUCCCACAUAUGGGAAUGGUUAAUGGAUUUUGGGACUCUCUAGGAGCCCCUGUUUUAAGAAGGAGGCCAAAUGUGCAGGCUCAGGCCAAGCAGCAGAGAUGAAUGAGGUGAUGACCACAGCCUUGAUCCGGCAGGAGCUCAGAGAUGCCCGGGAAGACGGGGGGCCCGAAUGGAAGCAGAAAAACACUUAUGGCCGCUGGGAAGUUGGGAGAGCCAGGCUGGGGCUCCGGCAGGCCCAGGGAAAGUUCCCUUUCUAGGCUCUUUAUUAAAAAAUUUAAAAGGAGGAGUUGAGGCGCCUUGAAUUUUCCUUCGCGAGUUUGGAGACCAGCCGAUUUUUCAUGAAGCAAGCAAGGGCCGCGGUCCCGGAUCCUGCAACAUAUACCUCAUUUUCUCCAGGCCUCUCCACUUGCCCGAGCUCUCAGCCACCAGGAGACAGACGGAAGGGGCUUCUGGGCUGUGUUGGGAGCGGGCAUUGUCCCCUACCCACUCCUGCACAGUUUCCCAAAGUCCAGCGACCUCCGACCCUCCUUGGGGAAAAAAAUACCAGUACCCAGACACCUCUGCACCCUGUUAUAUGACUGGGCUUGCUUCAGGAAUAUCUUACAAAGAAGAAGAAGGAGGAGGAACGGCUUGGAGUCAUGUUUACAUCUAGUUCUACUGAUCCGUUCACAUCUGGAGAGUUUAUUUAUAACUCCCUCUAUAACUCUCUGUUUGGAGGCACUGGUGGCUCUACUGACAGACUGAUGUCUAGGAAAUAUUGCUCUAUGUCUAAUGGUACCUAAAUGUGCUGUGGUUGUAUUUACAGAUUUACGUUUGAGGGAAAUAUAAUUAUUUCCAUUGUAUUUGUGCAUAUACAGUAGUUAUAGGAGCAGAUUUAUAUAUGGGAAAAUAUGCGACUCCCUUACAGCCAUCCGGCUUUAUGUACAUUUGAUAUCCUGACAGAUUUAUAUCUCUGAAGAGCUAUAUAGAUUAAAACGUAUAUUGUUAGAAUUAUGUAUCAGGAGAUAUAUACUUAUUGAUUGCGAAAUAGAGUAGUUAGAGCAUUCACUUAGAGCCAUAUAUGGCUAUGGAGAUAUUUCUAUAUUAUUAUCACUAUAUAUAGGCAUAUCUAUUUAUAACUGCAUAGUUAUAAAAAUAGACAUAA
rnacentral:lncRNA from 1 species